AAUUGCUAUGGAUUUGUCGCAAAUCCACACAAAAAAUUAUCAACAAGUCAUGCCAAGAUUCUCAUUCGGUUCUUUGGAAUCUCGUGAUGUUGAAAACGUCUUUGUUUUUUUUUUUUGGGAAACGUUUCAAAUGGGUUGUGGAUACAAGCAAUUUCUGUGAGUUGGAAGAUGGGACCCACAGAGAAUGGGUACCGUGGCUUUGUCGGCUCAUGUCCGUAUCGGUCCUCUUCCGUAUACGCUAUAUAUUUUGUGGUGAUGCCAUUUCCAGGGAGCUCGAAUCUGUGCAGCUUGAGGAACCUACCCUAGGCUGGCGCUGAGCCUUGCACAUUUGGUAAAUCAUUAAAUGUAAUCCAGCAAUAUAUUUUAGUCAUGUUUGUAUAUAAUUUAUGGAUUUUUUUUUGUAACCGGAUAUCUUGCGUCAAAGUCCAGAUUAAUUUUGGAGUCGAUAGAUAGCCAUAUACUUUGAAUUAUAUGUUCUAUUCCCAAAACUGAAAUUCGAAAUAGGGAUGACACAAAUGUUUUGCAACCCCA